rnacentral:rRNA from 1 species
UACGGAGGGUGCGAGCGUUGUUCGGAAUUACUGGGCGUAAAGGGCGCGCAGGCGGCUCAGACAGUCAGAUGUGAAAGCCCCGGGCUUAACCUGGGAACUGCAUUUGAUACUACUGAGCUUGAGUACGGGAGAGGAUAGUGGAAUUCCCAGUGUAGAGGUGAAAUUCGUAGAUAUUGGGAAGAACACCGGUGGCGAAGGCGGCUAUCUGGACCGUAACUGACGCUGAGGCGCGAAAGCGUGGGGAGCAAACAGG